UCUGUUUAAUUCGUUUAUUAUUAAUAAACUAAUUAGGAUAGUUUACGAUACUACACUGUUUAUCAAUUGCAUCGCAUUCUCGUGUAAAGUAGCACUGAUAAGAUGGAUAUCGGAACGAUCUUGUCAUUUUUCAAUGUAUGCCGGGCAAAUUCUCUGUUCAACAUCGUGGAUGGCCCUCUGCAGGAUCAUCGAGUUCCACGGGCCAUUAUGCCCGUCGCGAUUGACAAAGUUAGCCGCGAGGUUGAAAUACGGCCAAAAAAUUAAUGUUCCAUGGCGACUCCAUCGGCGGUGUCUUGCAAGCAUUCCCAACCGGAGGUCUUCCAGCAUCGCGCGUGUCGUCUACUAAAUAAUACGAGACAGUAAACGAGGUCUACCUACGUUGCGGUCAUUGAAAUAAACUAGUUUAUCUUGUUGACCGGCCGACGAGUUCGAUUCCCUUGUCUAUGGCCUCUGUUGGAAGAGCAAAAGAGAAAGAAAUAGGAAGGACGGUAAAGAGAAGAAAUCGAAGCGACAGAGCUGCAGAGUUUCCUCGAGUGACGGACCUCGAGGUAAUGCAAUAACGACUUUAUUAGGGUUAUCGACGUACGCACGUGCCUCAACCCUCUGACAUUUUAACUCUUGGCAUGCUCGUUAUGCAAACCCCUGCGGACCUAACGACCAGUCGUCGUCUCCUCCUGUCUAGCCGUAGCAGAAGAGCUCGCUAAUUGCUAAUUACCUUACAGUUUUAAUCGAUCACCGCGACUACGCAUUGUGGUCACGAUACAGUUGCUAGUACCCGUUGCUCGAUUCAAUUUCGUUCGCUUCUUAUGCGAGUGAGGGUCGUCAGCGAAAUUCAUUAACUUCGUAAGACUUCCUUCGUCACAGAAGGUGCUCCAGUAGAAGACGAAGAGCGAGAAAAAGGCCGUUGAACUCUUUAGAAUUUCGACAUGGAACUGUUUCGUAGACAACAGCAGAUCCUCGUGCGGUUCGAGUGCCUCGUCAGAAUUUCGUCCACGUGUGAAACAAUGGACGUUAUCGUGGUGUUCGUGUUCGAUUGUGCUCGGCGAUCGGAGCUCAGUAGCCCCG
rnacentral:misc_RNA from 1 species